UACGUAGGGUGCGAGCGUUAAUCGGAAUUACUGGGCGUAAAGCGUGCGCAGGCGGUUCGCAAAGUCUGAUGUGAAAGCCCCGGGCUCAACCUGGGAACUGCAUUGGAAACUAACGGGCUCGAGUGUGGCAGAGGGGGGUGGAAUUCCGCGUGUAGCAGUGAAAUGCGUAGAGAUGCGGAGGAACACCGAUGGCGAAGGCAGCCCCCUGGGCUGACACUGACGCUCAGGCACGAAAGCGUGGGGAGCAAACAGG
rnacentral:rRNA from 1 species